UACGGGGGGGCAAGCGUUGUUCGGAAUUACUGGGCGUAAAGGGCGCGUAGGCGGCCUUCUAAGUCAGACGUGAAAUCCCUCGGCUCAACCGAGGAACUGCGUCUGAUACUGGAAGGCUUGAAUCCGGGAGAGGGAUGUGGAAUUCCAGGUGUAGCGGUGAAAUGCGUAGAUAUCUGGAGGAACACCGGUGGCGAAGGCGGCAUCCUGGACCGGUAUUGACGCUGAGGCGCGAAAGCUAGGGGAGCAAACGGGG
rnacentral:rRNA from 1 species